UUUUACUCAUUGUCUGCCACAAAGCCUACUAUAUGCACUCAUCCUGCACCCUUUACGUUAACUCUCUCUAUACAAUGUAAAGCGUGACUGAAGAAUCAACCAACAUUUAUAUCAGCUAUUAUUAUAUAUUGAUGAAAGGCAAACAAUUAACAGA